GACGAACGCUGGCGGCGUGCCUAAUACAUGCAAGUCGAGCGAAGUUUUUCUGGUGCUUGCACCGGAAAAACUUAGCGGCGAACGGGUGAGUAACACGUAAAGAACCUGCCUCAUAGACUGGGACAACUAUUGGAAACGAUAGCUAAUACCGGAUAACAGCAUUAACUGCAUGGUUGAUGUUUAAAAGUUGGUUUUGCUAACACUAUGAGAUGGCUUUGCGGUGCAUUAGCUAGUUGGUGGGGUAAAGGCCUACCAAGGCGACGAUGCAUAGCCGACCUGAGAGGGUGAUCGGCCACACUGGGACUGAGACACGGCCCAGACUCCUACGGGAGGCAGCAGUAGGGAAUCCUCCGCAAUGGGCGAAAGCCUGACGGAGCAACGCCGCGUGAGUGAAGAAGGAUUUCGGUUCGUAAAGCUCUGUUGUUAGGGAAGAAUGAUUGUGUAGUAACUAUACACAGAGANGACGKACCUAACCAGAAGCCAC
rnacentral:rRNA from 1 species